UACGUAUGGUGCGAGCGUUGUCCGGAAUUAUUGGGCGUAAAGGGUACGUAGGCGGUUUUGUUGGUCCACAUUAAAAGGCAUAGGCUCAACCAAAGUUAGGUGUGGAAACUGUAAAACUUGAGUACAUGAGGGGCAAGUGGAAUUCCUAGUGUAGCGGUGAAAUGCUUAGAUAUUAGGAGGAAUACCAGUGGCGAAGGCGACUUGCUGGA
rnacentral:rRNA from 1 species